GCAGGAGGAAGAGAUGGUGAUAAUGACAUUUUAAACAUGAAGUGAAGCUCAAAGCUUGUCUGUUGGGGAUCAACACCCCUCCCCACAGGAGCAUACUCACAACGGUGCAUAGCACUGUCUGACUCGGGUACCUUGUCCAUAGGACAGAAAAAACAUCCUAUCCCAAACCUUGAUUUUCUCUCUCAACUUGGCUGCCACACAGACUGUUGGAAUAAAUAUUGUCAUGCUUCAAAGAAA